AUGGAUAGCCCCUUUAGCUCAGGAGACAAGGGCAGAGCAGCCUCAGCCAGUACCAAAGCCCCCUCAGUGUUCCCCCUGGCACCCACCUGCAAGAGCACGGACGGCUCCACGGUGACUCUGGGCUGCCUGGUGAAGGGCUAUUUCCCUGAGCCAGUGACUGUGUCCUGGAACCAAGGCGCCCUGUCCAGCGGUGUGCGCACCUUCCCGUCUGUCCUGCAGUCCUCAGGCCUCUACUCCCUCAGCAGCAUGGUGACCGUGCCUGCCAGCACCUGGCCCAGCCAGAAAGUCACCUGCAACGUAGCCCACCCGGCCAGCAGCACCAAGGUGGACAAGAUGAUUGAGCCCAGUACCCCCAAAUCUGACUCCGGCACCACGUGUCCCAAGUGCAAAUGUCCUGAUAACCAGGGAGGACCUUCAGUCUUCAUCUUCCCCCCAAAACCCAAGGACACCCUCAUGAUCUCCCUCACCCCUGAGGUCACAUGCGUGGUGGUGGACGUGAGCCAUGAUGACCCUGAAGUCCAGAUCAGCUGGUUCGUGGAUGGUGAGCAGGUGCACACGGCCCAGACUUCCAGGGAGGAGCAGUUCAACAGCACGUUACGCGUGGUCAGCGUCCUGCCCAUCCGGCACCAGGACUGGCUGAAGGGCAAGGAAUUCAAGUGCAAGGUUAAGAACAAUGCCCUCCCAGCCCCCGUCGAGAGAACCAUCUCCAGAGCCAAAGGGCAGGCCCGGAGUCCACAGGUGUACGUCAUGGCCCCACCCCGGGAGGAGAUGACCCAGAGCACUGUCAGCUUGACCUGCCUGGUCAAAAACUUCUACCCCAAUGACAUCCACGUUGAGUGGGAGAGUGAGGGAAAGCCAGUGAACAACUACAAGACCACCCCAUCCGUGCUGGACAGCGACGGCACCUACUUCCUCUACAGCAAGCUCACAGUGGACAGGAGCUCGUGGCUGAGUGGGAGUUCAGUCACAUGCUCUGUCAUGCACGAGGCCCUGCACAACCACUAUGUGCAGAAGCUUAUCUCCCACAAUCCGGGUAAAUGAGCGCUGCACCCGGCAAGCCUCUCGCUCCCCCGCAGGCUCUCGGGGUCCUGCGAGGACUCUCA